rnacentral:lncRNA from 1 species
CUGUUUCACGUGCUUGAAUGCUAUACUUUAGAAGCUGAUAUACACUCAACUAUGACACAGUGAAUGUUAUCUGACUGUAGUAGUAGUAGAAUUGGACUGAGAAAUGAAUAGGAAACUCAGUGGGUUGGAGAGUACUUAAAUGCCGUGGGCCUUUAAGGAAAUUCUACUGAAAUCAAUAUAACUAAGGAGACAGGAAGGAAGCCAAGACAAGAGAGUGAAGAUUCUGAAGUAAAUGGGUACUUGCUUUGACCAAGAUCGAAAGCCACCUCUCCCC